AGGACGAACGCUGGCGGCGCGCUUAAUACAUGCAAGUCGAGCGAGAACCGGACCUUCGGGUCCGGGGAAAGCGGCGAACGGGUGAGUAACACGUGGGUAAUCUGCCCUCGGUACUGGGAUAGCCCGGGGAAACCCGGAUUAAUACCGGAUAGCCUUUCGAGCUCUCGGGCUCGUUAGAAAAUGGUGGCUUCGGCUUCCGACUGAGGAUGAGCCCGCGGCGGAUUAGCUUGUUGGUGAGGUAAUGGCUCACCAAGGCCCCGAUCCGUAGCUGGUCUGAGAGGACGAUCAGCCACACUGGGACUGAGACACGGCCCAGACUCCUACGGGAGCAGCAGUAGGGAUCUUGCGCAAUGGGCGAAAGCCUGACGCAG
rnacentral:rRNA from 1 species